rnacentral:rRNA from 1 species
AAAGUAAUGAGCUAGUAAAGUUUAUAAAGUUAAUUUAGAUACUAUGAAAAAAUUGAUAAAGCCCCGACUAACUUCGUGCCAGCAGUCGCGGUAAUACGGAGGGGGCAAGUGUUACUCAUCAUGACUAGGCGUAAAGGGUGUUAAGAUAGCUACUGUUUGUUCUGAUCAAAAAAUCAACUGAAUUGUUGAAAAGUAUUAAAUAAACAACUUAGCUUGAGUAGUUUGGAGAUAGAGUUACUAGUUUUCAAGGGGUAGAAUCCAACGAGAUGAUUAGGAGAAACAAAGGCGAAGGCAACUAUUUAUGGACAACUGACAUUAAUACACAAAAGCGUGGGGAGCGAACAGGAUUAGAUACCCUGGUAGUCCAUGCCCUGACCUAUGAGUGUGAAAAUAUUUUUUGUUAUGGAGCCUUGCUUCAAACUACACGGCAAUUUGCUGCCAGUUGAAUAAAAAAUUUAUUUUAGCUAACGCGAAAGCAUUCCGCCUGGG